AUGGAGAAGCUUGUGAGAAAAGUCUUGGCAAAUCCAUUAGGAGUUGUUAUGCAAUUUUUUAAGAAAGAUACCAGGGCCAAGGGGCGCAGUCAGACUACUAUUACCGUUGUGUGGGUACAAGUUGUCCUUUUCAUCCUGCAAAUACUGUGCAUACCGGUCCUGGUUGUGGUUCUAAUUGCAGGGACCCUUUAUGUGUCUGGGCCUGUCGCCUGCGUCGUGCUGUCACUAUGGCGCCUACGGCAGCACAAUUAUGGCAAUACCCCAGGAGAUGACAGCAAAGCGAACCUGGUGCCAGCACUGACCAUAUUCUACAGUUUGGUUAUUUUCCAAGGCGUGCUCUACUUCUUAUGGCGAUUGAUAGAGGGCGCGGCGAUGCUGGUUGUCGUUUCAUUCUGUUUAGAUUGCAAGUUACCACCAAAGUGGGGCACCAUAACAGUUGUAGAUUAUCUCCAUGAUAUCCGAGCAAAAUGCUGGCAGGACCCUACAUCCAUACGUGGUAGGAAUUUUAUCAACUAUGUUGUCGAUUUGGUGAAUUCGGAAUCGGAGAAAGACUGCCUCUCAGGAGCAAGGAUGCUCCACAGCUUCAUUGAGCAGAAGGCAGAUGUAAGGUCCCUGCUACUCCCCUCCAGACCAAAGAUUAAGAAGCUGAUCGAUACGCUAGAAUGGAGCAGCAGCAGUCGAGAGCUCAGGGAGGUGGUUGCCAGGAUCAUUGCAUACCUUGCUGGUGACAUCCAUUUGUCCCAGUUCCCUGGGGCAACAUACUACAUAUCCUCCCUGCUCGAUACCACUCUGCCUUACUGGAACAACCAACAAGGACUCCAUCAUUAUUCACCAGUUACUGAGUCAAGAGAGGAACAUGGCAAAAAAAAAGGAUGCUGGUGA
rnacentral:rRNA from 1 species